GGAGAAGAUAGAGGGUUAGAAAGGAUGGUAGUGAGAAGUGGGAAAGAGGAGGGGAAGUAGAAAAGUGAGGAGAAGGUGGUGGGGGAAGUUUAAGAAGGAUGAGAAGGGAAGAAUGGAUUAAAGGGGGGAGUGGCAGUCGAGCAGCCCUGAUUGAGUAUAAUUUGAGUAUAGGACUGAUUGUUGGAUAAGUGAUUGUAUUGUACACUGGUCAAAUUGUGGGAAUUAUUAUGGAAAAAUAAAAAAAAUAAAAAAAAUUUUGCAAAUAAAAAAAAAAAGAAAAAAAAAGUUUGGAAUGACUAUUGAAUUAAAUAUAUAUGUGGCAGUUUUGACAUGUACACAUGGAAAAUCCUUUCAUAUUUUACAUGGGUAUUUUAGUGGUCAGACCAGAAGUAUAAAUAACUAAAUGCCUUGAAAAUAUAAUUAAUCCACUACUUUUACCUUUAAAAAACGAAAUGGACAUUUCAAAGGGUUUUUAUUGGACAUUAAAACAAAACAUCUCAUUUGACAAAUGAUACUAUUUGACAUAUAAUGUUUUGAUCUCAUGAAAACCCUGAAUUAUAUGCUGUGAAGCUAUUUUUAUAUUAUGUCAUUUUAUCAAUAUUAAAUGUCUAAUCCCCAGGAAGAGAGUGCAGUAAAGAAAUGUCAAAUGAGAAGCAGGGGGUCAUAUAAAAAGCAGGAAGCAUUGUGCCUGAAGCCUGUUAGAGUUAAUUUUUAAUUACUUUAUUGUAGAACCUCAUAAAAUCACUGAUAAGAAAGCAACAACACUGCUGCAUAUUUUCACUUCUUAAAAAGUAACUCAGCCUGAUUGCAAACAAGUCUUUAUCUUCAUAGCACACAUUUAACUUACUAGAAAAUUGUGGUUUUAAUUUUUAAUUUUUUAUCAGUUUGAAAUUUGCUUAAGCAAGAGUACAAUUGAAGUUUAAAAAGCACUCAUGGACAAUGAAUGAAUAAACCUGAAUAAAGACCUUAAUCGCCAUGCCCUCAUAUAGAUUUAUAUAUGUGAGCAUUGUCCUAUAUCAAGCAAAAAUUCCAACUAUUUUGUUUUUUUAGAACAUGUAAUGGAAAAGAGUGACUAAGGCUAAUGUUGCUCUACCUGUUUUGAGCAAUUUAGGAAGAACAGGUUGUUCCCAAUAACAGCUUUCUCCUUGCAAAGAUAAUCCUUUCUCUACUGCCUAUUUCCUUCAUUAGACCGAGAAGCGUUGUCAAACUUUAUUGGUAUAUUUAUUUGUUAGGUUUUUCUCCUGUUUUGUUCCAGGAACUCAAGGCAUUUUACAUGGGAUCUCUCUAAAUGUUUAUCCCAUUACAGCUUUGGUACUCUCAGGAUGGGAUUAGAGUUUCCAUGGAUAAGGAUGGACUUGAACCUGGGUGACCCCAGACUGAGAGCAGUAACAUAACUGUGUGCAAGAGGCUGAUAAAAGUUCUUGGAAUGUUCUCCAGAAACCGCUAUCCUUGAAAACCACAUUCUUAAGUGUUUAUAUCUGUUUCUGGAUUUGUUCUGUUUAUAAUUCAAAUCAGAAAAGUUGUAAAUUAUUUCAGGAAAGCAUGGCCAAAGGGCAGCAUGUUGAAAGUUGCUACAACUUUCUAAAUACUAGUAGGCUGUAUUGAUUUCAGACAUGUAUGUAAUGCUCAUAACAUUUUGCUUUUUGGGCCUCUUAAAUUUCAAGGCCGUUAUUGGAAUAAAAACAGAAGUACCCUUCCCUCCAGGCACCGGACCAAACAGUUUCAUUCUCUGUCCUAUCCCAGUGCUUGGGGGAAGAACCAGGUCAUCACAGCCUUCCAGAAUGCUAAAAAGCAGAGGGAGACAUGCUGCCAUGAUAACCAAAUUGGAGAAAGGAAACAACCAACCCCAACAGCAGGAAACAGAACAGAACUUUCUGACAGUAUAUUUCUAUCAUCAUAUUUGUGAAGUAAAUGCUGAAAAAUGUUAUCAAAACAUCCUGAGUAGACCGACCUAACUUCCUUCCUUCCUUCCUUCCUUCCUUCCUUCCUUCCUUCCUUCCUUCCUUCCUUUACUUACUUACUUAUUCAUUCACCAAAUUUGUACAGCUGCCCACCUCAUAAAAAGUACCUCUGGAUGGCAUACAACAAUAAAAUAUGAUAAAAUA